UUCAACUGGAUCAGCAUAAAAAGACAUCUCAGCACCAGAACAAUGUAACCAAGAUACAGUUAAAAACUCUACAGCAACCACUGAUAUCCUCAUUUUCGAAGCAUAUGGAUGACAAAAAUGAGUUAAAAAAUGGCUCUGAGCACUAUGGGACUUAACAUCGGAGGUCAUCAGUCCCCUUGAACUUAGAACUACUUAAACCUAACUAACCUAAGGACAUCACACACAUCCAUGCCCGAGGCAGGAUUCGAACCUGCGACCGUAGCGGUCGCAUGGUUCCAGACUGAAGCGCCUAGAACCGCUUGGCCUCUCCAGCCGGCAAAUUGAGUUCAAUGAAGAUCUUUGUGAGGCUUUAAUAUAAGCAAACAUCCCCUUGAAUAAGCUGGAGAAUGAAGGGUUAAGGACCUUCUUGAAAAAAAUACACAGGAAAAGAUAUUCCUCAUGAGUCAAUGCUCAGAAAGAACUAUGUGGACCCACUGUAUGAAAAGACAUUGGAGAAUAUUAGGAAAGACCACUGAUUCUUGCAGUCAGUAAAUGGUGCACGUCAUAGCUGGAAAACUCUCUGCUGACAAGGCUGGACGAGGACACCUCAUACUGUGUAAAGAAGUGGAACGAACGACACACACCACGAAUGCACGCACAGUGCAGGAAGCAUUGUGUGUGCUAUGGAGAUGUGAAGAUCAGAAACGUGGGGAGAACAAGGAUUUGGCCUUUGCGAUGGAUAGUGAAACAUAUAUGCUGAAGGCCGCAGAGUGUCUCCGAGGUGUUUUACCCUAAAAUUAUUCACCUCACGUGUCUGGUUCAUGGGAUACAUCAAAUUGCUGAAGAGAUCAGAGCCACAUUACCAGAGAUCAACAGCCUUAUAUCUUGGGCAAAGAAGGUUUUCAUCACGGUACCAAGUCGUGUGAGAGCUCUCAAGACUGCUCACCCCGACUGUCCUCUGCCACCUGAACCGGUCUUGACAAGGUGGGGAACGUGGAUUUCAGCUAAAAGUAUUAUGCAGACAACAACAGAAGAGUUGAAGAGUUGGAGAAGGAUGGUGCGAGCAAUGAGCUGUGAACUGCUGAAGUAAUCAUCCAACAACUGGCCAGAAGUUUUUUUAAGAAAUCUUUGGGAAACUAAUAAUUAAAACUUAUGUUUGUAACCCCCCGCCCCCAAACAGAUCAUAAAUGAGAGUGUAGUGUUUUAUCUAGACAGUGAUGAAUUGUUUUCAUUUUUGUGAAUGAGGACUGAGGAUUGUUACACAGUGGCAAAAGAUCUUUGUACAAUGUGUCUGUAUUUUUUUUA